UCUUAUGGAUGAGCAAAGAAAGUGAUUUCUUAAAUAGGAUCUGCUCUUAGUGAAGAUGCUGUGAA
rnacentral:pre_miRNA from 1 species